rnacentral:tRNA from 1 species
GGGGGUGUAGCUCAUUUGGUAGAGCGCUCGCUUCGCAUGCGAGAGGCACGGGUUCAAUUCCCCGCACCUCCA